AUGGCUGCAGCAUCUCUAGUCUUUAAAGAAAGUGAUACCAAAUAUUCAGGCACGCUUCUCAAACACGCCAAGCAGUUGUUCGAUUUCGCCGAUAACAACAGGGCAUCUUACAGUGUCAACAUACCUGAGGUUCAGAGUUAUUACAACUCCACAGGCUACGGAGAUGAGCUUCUUUGGGCAGCUUCAUGGUUGUACCAUGCGACAGAGGACAAAACAUACCUCGACUUUGUGUCUAAAAAUGGAGAUGAGUUUGGAAAUUUUGGAAGUCCGACAUGGUUUAGUUGGGACAACAAGCUUCCAGGAACACACGUAUUAGAGAUAAUGCACUUUCUUAUAAAUCAUUAUGUUCUUACAUAACAUUUACUGAUUUAUAUAUACCGUUGCAGGUACUAUUAUCAAGAUUAACCUUCUUCAAAAAGGGCCUAUCAGGAAGCAAAGGACUUGAAGGUUAUAAAGAAACAGCAGAAGCUGUCAUGUGUGGGCUCAUACCAGACUCUCCAACAGCUACAUCUAGUAGAACUGAUGGUAUAAUCUCUCUUACAUCUCUCAUUAUAUCAUACUUUCACUCAUGAUGUAGAAUUUCAUAUAAUUCUCUGAAUAUUUGUUGAUUUUUUUUUUCAAGGUGGUCUUAUAUGGGUUGCUGAAUGGAAUGCACUGCAACAUCCUGUGUCCUCAGCAUUUUUAGCCACACUUUACAGUGACUACAUGCUCACAUCCGGUGUUGAUAAACUAUCUUGUGGUGACACAUCCUUUAAACCAUCAGAUCUCAGAAAAUUCGCCAGAUCCCAGGUUCUUUAUAAUAUUCCAUUAAGCUAAACUCAUAACCUCUUAGAUAUACUAUAUAGUUUCAUAUUUACACAUUGCAGGCUGAUUACAUGCUAGGGAAGAAUCCAGAGACAAUGAGCUAUUUGGUGGGUUAUGGUGAUAAAUAUCCAGAGUUUGUGCAUCAUCGAGGAGCUUCGAUACCAGGUGAUGCAAACACAGGAUGUAAAGAUGGAUUCAAGUGGCUUAACUCGGAGGAACCGAACCCUAACGUGGCUUAUGGUGCACUUGUUGGUGGACCGUUUCUGAACGAGACGUUUAUUGAUGCGAGGAACAAUUCAAUGCAGAAUGAGCCGAGUACUUAUAACAGUGCGCUUGUGGUUGGUCUUUUGUCUAGUUUGGUUACUAGAUCUUCAUCGGUAGAAUCUUUUAAAUGAGAUCUUUAUUGAAGUUGUUUUAAUUAGAAUCACAUUAAGACAUCUUAUUUGUUUUAUUCUAUCUAUGUAUGUAUAUGUACGAACAUGGUUGAAUAAUGUAUGUGGUUUUGUAUAGCAUAUGGUAUAAUGGUAAAUGUCUCCUGUUUGUUCACUGUUCUUCUUCUUCGGAACAUGUUCUACCAGACUAAAAAAGGGAAAGCAAAAAAAAAACUCCGUUGCGGGGACUCGAACCCGGGUCUCUCGGGUGAGAGCCGAGUAUCCUGACCAGCUAGACUACAACGGAUAGGUGAACAUUGGGUGCGUUUCUACCAUCAUCAAUAUAAUCGAUGAAUUGACAUCAAAGAAAAUGUCAAGCAUACACAAUCAGUUUUUUUUCAUAUCAAUAGAUGAAUGAUCAAAACAAUAAGCCAUGGUUUCAGUCUAAAUUCUAAAAGAAUAAAAUCACUGAAUCAUCAUAUUUAUUACUUAUUGGUGUGUUUCUUACAGUGUGCAAAUUAAAAAAAAAUAUUUAGAACCAAAUUCAAAUGAUAUGUCUGCUUGUUUUUUCAUGAGAAAAGCAAAAAACUCACAGUGCCACAAAAAAAAGAAGUGAAAUAUAUAAAAAACAUGACAAGGGUUUCGCACAUAACGAAAAGACUUUAUGACUUCACUCGGCUCUAGACUGACCAGCACGAGAAGAGAGGAUGAUACCAACAAUGAGACCGUACAGCGCAAGUGCUUCAGCAAAGAUGAGAAUCAGAAUCAUUCCCACAAACAGCUUUGGCUGUUGUGCAUUCGCUCUGCAACACACAAAGACCAAACAUAAAAGUAAAAAAAAAGAUUCAACCUUUUAAGCUCUAAACAACAUCUCUAACACGAAAGAUCCAAUCUUUUUCUGAACUAGUUUGUUUCAAUUACCUAACACCGGCAUCGCCGACGAUGCCAAUAGCCAUACCGGCGGAGAGACCGGCGAGACCACAAGCGAGACCGGAAGAGAGAUGAGCGUAGCCGUCGAAGAGAUAGUAAGACUUGGCCUUUGGGUUGAUUCCAGUACUGAUGAUGACAGCAAUGAUGAGACCGUAGAUACCUAACACACCAGCCAUAACGACCGGAACAAUCGAUUUCAUUACAAGCUCUGGUCUCAUCACACCCAUCGACGCCACACCGACCCCGCUCUUUGCUGUCCCGUACGCUGCUCCCAUACCUGACAAAAAACGGAUGAGAUCAAAAACCCAAACCGUGGAUUCAUUCAAUUAGAGAUGUGCUGAAAGAAGGAUUUGGUGUUACAGGAGAAAACGAGAGCGGCGGCGGCGCCGAGGAAUCCGAAGAAGGGAGCAGUUUCAUCGCCGCUGAAACCUGAAGCCAUCGCUCGUCGUGAAUUGUGCGUCUCUUCAUUUAUUUAUUUUAUUUUUAAUUUCAUUCGUGAAAUUAGGUUUGAAACAAUUACGAAAUGAAGGUUAUACGAUUAGUAUGUAUAUUGUAUUAUCAAUUUGGGAAUCAAAUGAUCUAUACAUAUUAACCACUAAAAUUUGUGAAGGCUAGAACGAAUGUUUUAUCUCGAAAUCUCAGAACAUGAUUAAUGAGAUGUUCUUAGAGUGGAGUUUUUACGGGAAUAUAAAAAACUGUUUCUUAACUUUUUUUUCUUAACUUUUAACUAAAAAAAAGCUAAGAACCGGCUCUUAAAUAUCUUAUUUAAGAGCUGGUUCUUAGCUUUUUAGGUUAAUAGUUAAAGAAAUAGUUUAUUAUAUUCCGCUAAAAACCCCACUCUAAGAACCUCCAUUAAUCAUGCUCUCAGGACCGGCUCUGUUUAUUAGUUACAAACUUUGAAUUUUUGGGGUUUCUUAUAACGCAAGUUACAUCUUUAAUGUGAUUAUUUGGUUUUGAUUUUUGCUAAACUUAGUUCUACGCAUGAUUCUUGGCUUUUUUUUGAUGAAGCUGGUAAGCUGGAGAACAACAAAAUACCUUGGAGAGGAGAUUCAGGUCUUAAAGAUGGAAGUGAAGCGAGUCUUGACCUUUCCAAAGGUUUAUACGAUGCUGGAGAUCACAUGAAGUUUGGCUUCCCUAUGGCUUUCACUGCCACUCUUCUCUCCUGGUCCAUUCUCGAGUACGGCGACCACAUGGACUCCCUCGACCAACUUGAUCCUGCUAAAGACUCUCUAAAGUGGACCACCGAUUUCCUCAUCAAUGCCCAUCCUUCUCCAAACGUCCUCUACAUUCAGGUACAAUGAUCAAGAUGAUGAAUCUUUCAUAACUUGUCACGUUUCAAAACCAUUAGAAUACUCAUUUUCAAGAUCGGAUUUGGACAUAUCCCAGUGAAACAUAGGAUUUGGGUCUUAAAUUUUUUUGGAGGUUAUAUAUAUAGUUAUAGAAAUUAUAUUGAAAAAAAUUGUUAGUUUUUAAUAAAAAUAUUUAUGGCCUCUAAAAUCAUAGAUCCGGCCAUUUUCAUAUUAUUCAUUUUUUAUUAAGGUGGGAGAUCCGGAGACUGAUCAUAAAUGUUGGGAUAGGCCAGAAACAAUGUCAAGAAAGAGAACUCUCACCAAGAUUGAUGCAGAUACUCCAGGGACUGAGGUUGCUGCAGAAACAGCAGCAGCCAUGGCUGCAGCAUCUCUAGUCUUUAAAGAAAGUGAUACCAAAUAUUCAGGCACGCUUCUCAAACACGCCAAGCAGUUGUUCGAUUUCGCCGAUAACAACAGGGCAUCUUACAGUGUCAACAUACCUGAGGUUCAGAGUUAUUACAACUCCACAGGCUACGGAGAUGAGCUUCUUUGGGCAGCUUCAUGGUUGUACCAUGCGACAGAGGACAAAACAUACCUCGACUUUGUGUCUAAAAAUGGAGAUGAGUUUGGAAAUUUUGGAAGUCCGACAUGGUUUAGUUGGGACAACAAGCUUCCAGGAACACACGUAUUAGAGAUAAUGCACUUUCUUAUAAAUCAUUAUGUUCUUACAUAACAUUUACUGAUUUAUAUAUACCGUUGCAGGUACUAUUAUCAAGAUUAAC
rnacentral:lncRNA from 1 species